ACAGGUGACUGAUGCCCAAUGAGAAGGUGAACGUGACAUAUACCUUUGUCAGCUUCAAGAAAGGAACCACGAGACAGGUGACUGAUGCCCGAUGAGAAGGUGAACGUGACAUAUACCUUUGUCAGCUUCAAGAAAGGAACGACGAGACAGGUGACUGAUACCCGAUGAGAAGGUGAACAUGACAUAUACCUUUGUCAGCUUCAAGAAAGGAACCACGAGACAGGUGACUGAUGCCCAAUGAGAAGGUGAACGUGACAUAUACCUUUGUCAGCUUCAAGAAAGGAACCACGAGACAGGUGACUGAUACCCGAUGAGAAGGUGAACAUGACAUAUACCUUUGUCAGCUUCAAGAAAGGAACCACGAGACAGGUGACUGAUUCCCGAUGAGCAGGUGAACGUGACAUAUACCUUUGUCAGCUUCAAGAAAGGAACCACGAGACAGGU